UCACUUUCCUCCUACAUAUUCAACUCCACAGUUACACAGCCAGGUCUUAAACUCGACCAUGGCAAGAAUCACCUCCCUUUGCGUGAUCACAACCCUCCUCCUCCUCUCUCUAACACUAUCCCGGUCCCUCGCCCGACCGGCCCCCUCGUUCCACGACGUUACUCCCAUGGAAACUCACAACCAGAAGGUGAGUGUGGAAGGAGAUGUGUGUGAGGGAGAGGGCGAAGAUGAAUGCAUGAUGAGAAGAACACUUGAAGCCAACCUUGACUACAUCUACACACAGAGACAAAAGCAACCAUGAGGAAUUUUCCACUUUUUUUUCAUACUAUAUACGUACCUAUGUGUAUUCUUGUCGAUCUACUACGUACUUUUUUGUCUUCUGCAUAGUUUAUUUUGCCUACGUAUACAGGGUUUUUCUUUAUAUACGUGAUAUGUAUCUGUAGAGUACGUUAGUCGUUUUUAAUUAGAAAAUCUCUUUUUUGUGUAUCA